rnacentral:rRNA from 1 species
UACGUAGGGUGCAAGCGUUAUCCGGAAUUAUUGGGCGUAAAGAGCUCGUAGGUGGUUUGUCGCGUUGUUCGUGAAAACUCACAGCUCAACUGUGGGCGUGCGGGCGAUACGGGCAGACUGGAGUACUGCAGGGGAGACUGGAAUUCCUGGUGUAGCGGUGGAAUGCGCAGAUAUCAGGAGGAACACCGGUGGCGAAGGCGGGUCUCUGGGCAGUAACUGACGCUGAGGAGCGAAAGCGUGGGGAGCGAACAGG